GUUCAGCUGGUUCAGUAGUAGAAUUCUUGCCUUCCAUGCAGAAGACUUGGUUUGAUUCCAAGGCAAAGCU
rnacentral:tRNA from 1 species